rnacentral:rRNA from 1 species
GACGAACGCUGGCGGCGUGCCUAAUACAUGCAAGUCGAACGCAGUGGGGACGGGUGAGUAACACGUGGGUAACCUCCCAUCAGAGGGGAUAAAACUUGGCAAAAGGUGCUAAACUGAUAUUGAUGGAUGUACUCGGUGUGCAUUAGCUAGUUGGUGAGGUAACGGCCCACCAAGGCCACGAGGCAUAGACGGGCUGCGAGGGUGAUCGGCCACACUGGGACUGAGACACGGCCCAGACGCCUACGGGAGGCAGCAGUGGGGAAUCUUCGGCAAUGGACGAAAGUCUGACCGAGAAACGCCGCGUGUAUGAAGAAGGUUUUCGGGUCGUAAAACUCUGUUGUUAGGGAAGCGGUAUCUAACCAGAAAGCCACGGCUAACUACGUGCCAGCAGCCGCGGUAAUUC